rnacentral:snRNA from 1 species
AUCGCUUCUCGGCCUUUUGGCUAAGAUCAAGUGUAAUCAGCAUUGUAUUGAAUCUAUAUAGCAGUUUUGGUAGUAUGGCCAUGUUCACUAUGUUGAUUCUUCCUACCCAGGAGCAGGGGAUAUCUUUCCAUUCUCUUAUACCUUUCCAAA